rnacentral:tRNA from 1 species
GUGUGGCUCAGUGGUACAGCAUUUGCCUUGCAUGAAAAAGGUUCAAUCCCUGGCAUCUCCA